CCUACGGGAGGCAGCAGUGGGGAAUAUUGCACAAUGGGCGAAACCCUGAAGCAGCGACGCCGCGUGAGGGAAGAAGGAUUUCGGUAUGUAAAGCUCUAUUAGCAGGGAAGAAAAUGUCGGUACCUGAUUAAGAUGCCCCGUCGAACUACGUGCCAGCAGCCGCGGUAACACGUAGGGGGCGAGCGUUAGCCGGAUUUACUGGGUGUAAAGGGAGCUUAGACGGCAGCACAAGUCUGGAGUGAAAUGCUGGGGCUGAACCCCGGAACUGCUGUGGAAACUGGGCAGCUAGAGUGCGGGAGAGGUAAGUGGAAUGCCUAGUGUAGCGGUGAAAUGCGUAGAUAUUAGGAGGAACACCAGUGGCGAAGGCAGCUUACUGGACUGUAACUGACGUUGAGGCUCGAAAGCGUGGGGAGCAAACAGGAUUAGAUACCCCGGUAGUC
rnacentral:rRNA from 1 species